UUGACGGGGCCCGCACAAGCGGUGGAGCAUGUGGUUUAAUUCGACGCAACGCGAAGAACCUUACCUGGGCUUGACAUCCCGGGAAUCUCCUAGAAAUAGGAGAGUGCCCUUCGGGGAACCCGGAGACAGGUGCUGCAUGGCUGUCGUCAGCUCGUGUCGUGAGAUGUUGGGUUAAGUCCCGCAACGAGCGCAACCCUUAUUGCUAGUUACCAUCAUUGAGUUGGGGACUCUAGCGAGACUGCCAGCGAUAAGCUGGAGGAAGGUGGGGAUGACGUCAAAUCAUCAUGCCCCUUAUGACCUGGGCUACAAACGUGAUACAAUGGCUGGAACAAAGGGAGGCGAAGGGGUGACCUGGAGCGAAACCCAAAAAUACAGUCUCAGUUCGGAUUGAAGUCUGCAACUCGACUUCAUGAAGUCGGAAUCGCUAGUAAUCGCGGAUCAGAACGCCGCGGUGAAUACGUUCUCGGGGUUU
rnacentral:rRNA from 1 species